rnacentral:tRNA from 1 species
GCGGUAGUAAUUUAACGGUAGAAUAUAAGACUGUGGCUCUUAAGGACCGGGUUCAAUUCCCGGCUACCGCC